rnacentral:misc_RNA from 1 species
UAUGGAGGAUCCAAGCGUUAUCCGGGAUCAUUGGGUUUAAAGGGUCCGUAGGCGGGUUGAUAAGUCAGUGGUGAAAGUCUGCAGCUUAACUGUAGAAUUGCCAUUGAUACUGUUGACCUUGAGUAAUUAUGAAGUGGUUAGAAUAUGUAGUGUAGCGGUGAAAUGCAUAGAUAUUACAUAGAAUACCGAUUGCGAAGGCAGAUAACUAAUAAUUUACUGACGCUGAGGGACUAAAGCGUAGGUAGCGAACAGG